GACGAACGCUGGCGGCGUGCUUAACACAUGCAAGUCGAACGAAGAGCGAUGGAAGCUUGCUUCUAUCAAUCUUAGUGGCGAACGGGUGAGUAACGCGUAAUCAACCUGCCCUUCAGAGGGGGACAACAGUUGGAAACGACUGCUAAUACCGCAUACGAUCUAAUCUCGGCAUCGAGGAUAGAUGAAAGGUGGCCUCUACAUGUAAGCUAUCACUGAAGGAGGGGAUUGCGUCUGAUUAGCUAGUUGGAGGGGUAACGGCCCACCAAGGCGAUGAUCAGUAGCCGGGCUGAGAGGAUGAACGGCCACAUUGGGACUGAGACACGGCCCAGACUCCUACGGGAGGCAGCAGUGGGGAAUCUUCCGCAAUGGACGAAAGUCUGACGGAGCAACGCCGCGUGAGUGAUGACGGCCUUCGGGUUGUAAAGCUCUGUUAAUCGGGACGAAAGGCCUUCUUGCGAAUAGUGAGAAGGAUUGACGGUACCGGAAGAGAAAGCCACGGCUAACUACGUG
rnacentral:rRNA from 1 species